CCGCAGGCCCACGGGGGAGGCGGAGCGCAGAAAUGGGGGCCUUUCGAGCCAGCCCGAGCCUCGGUGCAAGCUCUGUCGCUCAGAUCUGGGGACUAGGAGCUUUGAGGUGCAAAGCCAGCAGCCAGCACAACUCUAGCUCUGGAGGAGGCCCGAGUCUGGGAGGGGAGAGAUUUGGAGAAAUCGAAUCUUCUAGAAUCUCCACUCCAUGAAGGCAGUGAUUUUUGUCUGCUCUCUGCUGUAUUCCCAGUGCCUGCAACGUGACUGACGUGUGAGAGACACACAGUCAACAUGCAUGGAAUGCAUAAAUGCAUAAUCUAUUCCUUUAGAAGCUGGAGAAAUGCAGCCCAAACAGAAAUGCAUUCAGAGGCCAGGCAAGUAACAGAUGUGUGAAGCAGAUGGACUGUGACUAUAGCAGAAGUGACACAAUGGGUCAUAAAGAGUG